AACGAACGCUGGCGGCAUGCCUAACACAUGCAAGUCGAACGGGAUCCUGGUUUCGGCCAGGUGAGAGUGGCGGACGGGUGAGUAACGCGUGGGAACCUGCCCAGUGGGUGGGGGAGUAACUGCGGGAAACGUGCAGCUAAUACCGCAUGAGCCCGAAAGGGGAAAGGAAUUGAUCGCCAUUGGAGGGGCCCGGCGUUCGAUUAGGUAGUUGGUGAGGUAACGGCUCACCAAGCCUUCGAUCGANAGCUGGUCUGAGAGGAUGAUCAGCCACACUGGGACGUGAGAUACGGCCCAGACUCCUACGGGAGGCAGCAGUGGGGAAUAUUGG
rnacentral:rRNA from 1 species